GGCAUCUCCGGUGUCCUAGCAUCGGCACAAUUCAAGCAUGUGAAAUUGGUGUCGGCAACAUAGUUCUGGCCGUAACUUCUUGUAGGGCUAGUUACCUUACUCCAACAGUAGAUUUGCUCCAACAGGGAGCUAUAGGCUGAGGCAACACUUCUCCGGCUAAAUCAAAAGAGUUGUGUGAUGUGGAUCAACUAUCAAGGUUGUGAGGAAGGAAGUUGGAUGUUUGUUUUGGGUUUUUGAGUUGAGACAAGAGCUCUGAUUUGAGGGCAUACAACACGAUCUACAUUGGAGGUGGG